rnacentral:rRNA from 1 species
CAGAGGGUGCAAACGUUGCUCGGAAUUACUGGGCGUAAAGCGCGUGUAGGCGGACCGGAAAGUCGGGCGUGAAAUCCCUGGGCUCAACCCAGGAACUGCACUCGAAACUUCCGGUCUUGAGUGGUGGAGAGGGUAGUGGAAUUCCUGGUGUAGAGGUGAAAUUCGUAGAUAUCAGGAGGAACACCGGUGGCGAAGGCGGCUACCUGGACACCAACUGACGCUGAGACGCGAAAGCGUGGGGAGCAAACAGGAUUAGAUACCCUGGUAGUCCACGCUGUAAUCGAUGGGCACUAGGUGUCGCGGGUAUUGACCCCUGCGGUGCCGUAGCAAACGCGUUAAGUGCCCCGCCUGGGGAGUACGGCCGCAAGGCUA